rnacentral:rRNA from 1 species
UACGAGGGGGGCAAGCGUUGUUCGGAAUUAUUGGGCGUAAAGGGCGCGUAGGCGGUGCGGUAAGUCACCUGUGAAAACUCUGGGCUCAACUCAGAGCCUGCAGGCGAAACUGCCGUGCUUGAGUGUGGGAGAGGUGCGUGGAAUUCCCGGUGUAGCGGUGAAAUGCGUAGAUAUCAGGAGGAACACCGAUUGCGAAGGCAGCUCGGCUGGGACGUCACUGACGCUGAGACGCGAAAGCGUGGGGAGCAAACAGG